GUGGAUUAGAUACCCUGGUAGUCCACGCCGUAAACGAUGGGCACUAGGUCCUUGGGGGAGCGACCCCUUGAGGGCCGUCGCAAACGCAUUAAGUGCCCCGCCUGGGGAGUACGGCCGCAAGGCUGAAACUCAAAGGAAUUGACGGGGGCCCGCACAAGCGGUGGAGCAUGUGGUUUAAUUCGACGCAACGCGAAGAACCUUACCUGGGCUUGACAUGGCCGGGAAUCUCCGGGGAAACCUGGAGAGCUCUUCGGAGCUCGGUCACAGGUGCUGCACGGCGGUCGUCAGCU
rnacentral:rRNA from 1 species